GGAGUACGGCCGCAAGGGCUAGAAGCUCAGAGAGAUUGACGGGGACCCGCACAANCGGUGGAGUAUGUGGCUUAAUUCGAUGCAACGCGAAGAACCUGACCUGGCCUUGACAUGCAUUGUGUCGUCGGUGAAAGCCGGCUAGUCCUGGAAACAGGACGCUUUGCACAGGUGCUGCAUGGCUGUCGUCAGCUCGUGUCGUGAGAUGUUGGGUUAAGUCCCGCAACGAGCGCAACCCUUGUGGUCAGUUACUAACCGGCUUAGCCGGAGGACUCUGGCCAGACUGCCCUGUCAAACGGGGAGGAAGGUGGGGACGACGUCAAGUCAGUAUGGCCCUUAUGGCCAGGGCUGCACACGUACUACAAUGCCCGGUACAAUGUGAACCGAAACCGCGAGGUGGAGGAAAUCGCUCUUGAAAACCGGGCCCAGUUCGGAUUGGAGUCUGCAACUCGACUCCAUGAAGUCGGAAUCGCUAGUAAUGGCGUAUCAGCAACGACGCCGUGAAUACGUUCCCGGGUCUUGUACACACCGCCCGUCACAUCAUGGAAGUCUCCUGUACCCGAGGCACGUGCGCCAACCUUUCAGGAGGCAGCGUUCGAAGGUAUGGGAGCUA
rnacentral:rRNA from 1 species